rnacentral:rRNA from 1 species
GGCGAGGGGAGUGAAAUAGAACCUGAAACCGUGUACGUACAAGCAGUGGGAGCACCUUCGUGGUGUGACUGCGUACCUUUUGUAUAAUGGGUCAGCGACUUAUAUUUUGUAGCAAGGUUAACCGUAUAGGGGAGCCGUAGGGAAACCGAGUCUUAACUGGGCGAUUAGUUGCAAGGUAUAGACCCGAAACCCGGUGAUCUAGCCAUGGGCAGGUUGAAGGUUGGGUAACACUAACUGGAGGACCGAACCGACUAAUGUUGAAAAAUUAGCGGAUGACUUGUGGCUGGGGGUGAAAGGCCAAUCAAACCGGGAGAUAGCUGGUUCUCCCCGAAAGCUAUUUAGGUAGCGCCUCGUGAACUCAUCUUCGGGGGUAGAGCACUGUUUCGGCUAGGGGGCCAUCCCGGCUUACCAAACCGAUGCAAACUCCGAAUACCGAAGAAUGUUAUCACGGGAGACACACGGCGGGUGCUAACGUCCGUCGUGAAGAGGGAAACAACCCAGACCGCCAGCUAAGGUCCCAAAGUCAUGGUUAAGUGGGAAACGAUGUGGGAAGGCAUAGACAGCCAGGAUGUUGGCUUAGAAGCAGCCAUCAUUUAAAGAAAGCGUAAUAGCUCACUGGUCGAGUCGGCCUGCGCGGAAGAUGUAACGGGGCUAAACCAUGCACCGA